UACGUAGGGUGCAAGCGUUGUCCGGAAUUAUUGGGCGUAAAGAGCUCGUAGGCGGUCUGUCGCGUCGAAUGUGAAAACCCGGGACUCAAUUCCGGGCCUGCAUUCGAUACGGGCAGACUAGAGUUCGGUAGGGGAGACUGGAAUUCCUGGUGUAGCGGUGAAAUGCGCAGAUAUCAGGAAGAACACCCGUGGCGAAAGCGGCUCUCUGGAACGGUACUGACGCUGAGACGCGAAAGCGUGGGGAGCAAACAGG
rnacentral:rRNA from 1 species